rnacentral:misc_RNA from 1 species
GAUGAAGAACGCAGCGAAAUGCGAUAAGUAGUGUGAAUUGCAGAAUUCCGUGAAUCAUCGAAUCUUUGAACGCACAUUGUGCCUUCUGGUAUUCCGGAAGGCAUGCCUGUUCGAGAGUCAUUAACAACCGUUUCGAUCCCUUUCUUUCAGAAAUUACAAAGAGGAAAAGGGUUUGGUUAUGGUGGAGGAGGGAAAGGGAGCGUUUAGCCUGUAAAAAAAGAGGCUGUGUUCCGCCUCCCCCCCAAAAUUGUACAGGCGGUCGUGUGCGCCCACGCAUCGAGGUGUUGUAAAAGCUGCCACGGCACUUUUCACCUGUGCAGUGCGAGAUUGGCCAGCCGGUUUAAAAACCCCUCCAAACAAUCAAAGGUUGACCUCGGAUCAGGUAGGGAUACCCGCUGAACUUAAGCAUAUCAAUAAGCGGAGGA